UAAUUGAAGAGUUUGAUCAUGGCUCAGAUUGAACGCUGGCGGCAGGCCUAACACAUGCAAGUCGAGCGGUAACAGGGGAAGCUUGCUUCYCGCUGACGAGCGGCGGACGGGUGAGUAAUGUAUGGGGAUCUGCCCGAUAGAGGGGGAUAACUACUGGAAACGGUAGCUAAUACCGCAUAAUCUCUCAGGAGCAAAGCAGGGGAACUUCGGUCCUUGCRCUAUCGGAUGAACCCAUAUGGGAUUAGCUAGUUGGUGAGGUAAUGGCUCACCUAG
rnacentral:rRNA from 1 species